UACACAGGGUGCGAGCGUUAAUCGGAAUUACUGGGCGUAAAGCGUGCGCAGGCGGCUUUGCAAGACAGAUGUGAAAUCCCCGGGCUCAACCUGGGAACUGCAUUUGUGACUGCAAGGCUAGAGUACGGCAGAGGGGGAUGGAAUUCCGCGUGUAGCAGUGAAAUGCGUAGAUAUGCGGAGGAACACCAAUGGCGAAGGCAAUCCCCUGGGCCUGUACUGACGCUCAUGCACGAAAGCGUGGGGAGCAAACAGG
rnacentral:rRNA from 1 species